rnacentral:rRNA from 1 species
UACGUAGGGUGCGAGCGUUGUCCGGAAUUACUGGGCGUAAAGAGCUCGUAGGUGGUUUGUCGCGUUGUCCGUGAAAUUCCCUGGCUUAACUGGGGGCGUGCGGGCGAUACGGGCAGACUGGAGUACUGCAGGGGAGACUGGAAUUCCUGGUGUAGCGGUGGAAUGCGCAGAUAUCAGGAGGAACACCGGUGGCGAAGGCGGGUCUCUGGGCCGGUACCGACGC